CAUAGUAACACUGGAAUCCUUUACCACACAGUCUCAUAGAAUUCCACAGAACAAAACAUUCAAGACCAGGAGUCCAUAAACUACAGCUUGUUUCAAAUCUGGCUCAAGGAAGUGGGGACAGCAUGCUGGUAGUUUAUCUUAAAUGUGGCUUAGAUCCAGGCAUUUGGAUGUUGCGGCAUGAUGCUGUCAAGUGCUACAGGAAAAAUAUGCUGACAAUUCCAUUACUUUGAGAGGAGGCACAUGCAACUGAACAACACCUCAGUUAUACCUGACUGGAGUGAGACUGGAACUCAAUGUCUUAUGGUAGACUAAGAUCACUAUUAUUAAAGAUUACUGUGGUAAUUUGAAUGAGCAUGGCAUCUACAGACCCCAAUAUUUGGUGUGUUGGCCCAGAACCAAACGACUACACACUUGAGCCCCAAAGCCAAACUGGUAGCACCUGGGUCUGAUUUUUCAGCCAUCUGGCCCUCCAGAGAAUGUUCGUGUGGUAGUCUCUGAUGGGCUUAUUUCACAAGAAGACUGGCCAACCAUAUGAAAGAAAAACAAAUUGGAUUCCUAUGUGAAACCAUUUUAUAGAUGUAUUACAAAAGAAUUUAAAGACUUAAAUGUAAGAUAAAUUCAUCUAAUUCUUGAGAGAAAAUAUAUUUUUGUGAC